UGGGGAAUCUUGCACAAUGGGGGCAACCCUGAUGCAGCGACGCCGCGUGAGCGAUGAAGCCCUUCGGGGCGUAAAGCUCUUUCGACCGGAACGAUAAUGACGGUACCGGGAGAAGAAGCUGCGGCUAACUACGUGCCAGCAGCCGCGGUAAUACGUAGGCAGCAAGCGUUGUUCGGAGUUACUGGGCGUAAAGAGUGCGUAGGCGGUUUUGUAAGUUCGGUGUGAAAUCUCCCGGCUUAACUGGGAGGGUGCGCCGAAGACUGGGAAGCUGGAGUGUGGGAAAGGCAGGCGGAAUUCCUGGUGUAGCGGUGAAAUGCGUAGAUAUCAGGAGGAACACCGGCGGUGUAGACGGCUUGCUAGACCAUAACUGACGCUGAGGCACGAAAGCGUGGGUAGCAAACA
rnacentral:rRNA from 1 species